rfam:Felis catus isolate Cinnamon breed Abyssinian chromosome B3, whole genome shotgun sequence.
GCCUGGGUGGCUCAGUGGUUGAGCAUCUGACUUCGGCUCAGGUCAUGAUCUCGCAGUUUGUGAGUUUGAGCCCCGCAUCGGGCU